CCGUCUGCAUCUCAGGGUACUUAGGGGUGAUGUACCUCGCCAUCCAGAACUUCGGGCUCCUGUACAGCGUCGCCCGCAGAGUCACGCAGCCCAAAGUGAAAUCCCACUAAAGUACAAGUUCCACAUCUCUCUCUCCAUCUUCUUCAAAUCCAAGAACUUGUGUGAAAGCAGGAGCUGGGCCGAGCCGAACCGACGGCUUUCAAAACCCAGCAGAAUAUUUUUCGUUUCCUUCAUCCAUAAACUAUGAUGUCAGAUUGGACCGCUGCCAACUCCUCCUUUUGGUCUCUCCGGACUGGAACAAUCAGGAAUCAUUUCUCUCACACACACACACACAGAAAUGUUUCCAGUGAGAGAUGUAGACGGGAUUCAGAGACUGUCUGAAGUCGCUGAGUUUAACCCAGAUAAUAAUUAAGGACAGAUUCACAUUGUUUAAAUACGAUACUCACACUCCCAUAAAGAAGUUUAAACAGUUAUCAGUCGGUGUCAUUAUUAUUUAUUUUCAUACUGACUGUUGAAGUCACAUUGUAGAGAGGAAACCACUUUUCUACGUGCAGCGGUAGAUUAUAUGCGAGUCUUUUUGGGUCGUAAUUCCCUGUUUUUUCAAAAUAAAAAGACUUCAAAUUAACUCAUUUUAGUCUCUGGUGAAUUUAGAAAAGACUGGAUUAUGUUUCCCAUUUCUUUAGGGCUGCAAUUUAACAAAUGUAACUAACAUUAACGAGCGUUUUAGAAAAACUGGAUACAAAUUCACAUUGAAUUCCAUGAUGUUUUCAAACUACCUUUUUUUUUUGUCCGACUCGGAAACAAAUGACAAAUAUAAUUUCUAAAAGGCAUAGAAAAUACUUCAAAUGUUCGCCGUUUGUUCUGAAGAAAAGUAUACAGCGAUGAUGAAAAUAUGUGCAGCUUAAAAAUGCCAUAUGGGUUUGUGAGUAUUGAAAUCUGAAUUUGUCCUUUUUUUUAAGUGAAAAUUAGACAAAAAUCCACAACUUGUCAAAACAAAAUGUGAAGUAGUGUCUAGAUGAUCCUGAUUAAAUCGCCUUGGUAGUGAAAUAAUGAAAAGCAACAUUCGAUUGCCAGAUAAUUACUGUUUGCAUUAACCCCCCCCCCUUAAUAAUAUCUAACGUUAGGGACGUUUUUCCACUUUUUGUGCCCCUAUUUUCCUGUAAUGUUUGUUUCUGUGACUUGGUUUUCUUACUGCUCAAGUCUUUUUUUGUAAUGAAUAAAACAAGUCAUGCUGGGAAACGCUGAGUCAUGUUAAAGCUGGUCUUAGAAUACAAUCAGGGCGACGUGUAGAGACGAGAUAACGACCCCUUUUUUUAUCUGAGAGAAACACCUUAUGAGUUUGUGACUUCAGCGAUAAUCUGAUCUGAGAUUUUUUUAAACUGUGUUAACAUUUUGUCGCUGCAGUGUUUGUGUUAAAAUUGGAAGAGACAGAUAUUGGUCCUAUUAAAACGUGUGUGUGUGUGAAUGAAUACUGCAGUGACUCCCGAUGUGUCUCUACCUUGUUGUGGGUGAUUUUUUGUUUUUUGUAUUUUCCACCGCGUGACCCUUUUUUUUACCGACUCGAGGGAAAUGCUGCGUGCGUGGUACAUAUGAAUUUUUAAUUUAUUGAAGCAGUUAUUUUUUCAUUUGUGCACUGAACCCUUCUCCGCUCACACUUGAUCUCUGCAAUGAAAAGUUGUGAUUAAAAUAAAAAAAAUGUAUAAAAAAAAACACACAAAGCUGCUUUUUUUUCGUUUACUGACAUGUUUUAUUUGAUGGGAGGAAAUGAAAUGAUAACAUUGGCUGAAUGGUAUUAAAAUUGCAUUACAAAAGAGCAUGUCUUUAUCAAUUCAGAUUUAAAAAGUGGUCAGAUUUCCUUAAAACAAAGAAAGGGUAAUUUGUUUAUCAUACAGUGAAUAGUGAUCCACUUGUAUUUACUGAUUCUUCCCACAAAGUCACACAAAUCCCCCCAAAUUCUCCCCUUCCCUUUUUCUAAUCUUCCUAUUGAACAAUAAAAAUAAUACUAAUAAAUUACAGUGCAAUUUAUAAGAAAUACCUGCAGGGCGUUUUCUGCCCGUCGUUCUCUAAGCGCUUCGUCUCGUCAGCUCCCACAAACGCCCGACAAAUUAUUUUAGGUGGACGUUUGGCACAAAUAAAACACUCGCAGGGACAAUUUGAAAAGGCGAAAUUCAGACCGACAACUCGUACAGACGUCAUGUCUACCAAGAAACAUCGAAAAAAGUCAAAAUUCCUGAUCUUAAAAAUAAGAAACAAUUGGUAUAAUUUCACUUUUUUUUUUUUUUCUCAUUUGCUUCAAUAACAUGUCAUAUUUCAGACUAGUGGAAUGAAAACAACCAGAUUCCAAAUUAAGUUGUUUAUUUCACUUUAAUUAGACUCAAAACGUGUGUUUAUUUUGCACUAAAGUUCUACACUAAAGGAGGAUUUCUCCCUUAAUGUGUAGAAACGGUUUAAACAUCAAAUAUCCCACAAGUUGUCGGUCUGAACUGAGCUUCACAUGCAAUAUUAAGAACAUUUUAAAUAAGAAUAAUCCAAUUAAAUACAGAAAGAUAAAUAAAUGAUCAAUUUAAAAGAAAAUGUUCCUUUUAUUUUUGAUUUGUCUUGGAGACAGAAAUGACAUUUCUUAACUUAAAUCAUGAUUUGUUCCUAACAAAAACUUUACUUUCCUAACUUAACGGACGUUUCUGGCCGAAAAUCCUGAAAAUAAAUCCUCUUUUGUGGUGCGUAGGGGUGGGGGACGUGUAUGAAAUUCAUUUUUUAAAUCAUACUGACAUAAAAAGUUAAAGAACAUUAAAUUAAAUAUUAUCUAACGCACAUCUGGUAGUUGCUGCAGAUGUAUUUGGGGUAAUCUAUCAAAGUAAAAAUCAUUAAGAUGCAAAAUAAACACAUUUGAAACCGUCUGAUGGUGCGUUUGUGUCCCCUUAAGACUGUAGGAAUGUUUUUAUUUUUGUAAAUACCAGACUUUAGGGAUGAGACACACCUAAUCCACAUGUUGGGUGUUUGUGGGUUUACUGCAAACUUCACACAAAAAAAACCCCCCGACUGUGUGGGUCUUCAGUCUCACUUCCUGUCUGACACUACACAUGUUGGAUAAGAACCGUGUUUUCUACAGUACAGCUGAUCACAACUGGAAUACUAACAGUGCUCUCAGAGGAAAUAAAACAGCAGCAAUUAAAAAAAAACAAAAAACAUGAC